rnacentral:lncRNA from 1 species
AGCGCAGCUCCCAGUACCACCCGAUUGUCGUGGGAAAAGCUCACAAUCCCCCCAUAAACUCCCUGGGAAUUGCCCAAAUUCCCCCAAAAAACCUCUCAGGUAAAAACUCACCUGCAAGGGCUGCUCCAGGUGGGACCCCUCACGUUUUCCUGCUCUUUUCUCCCCUCACAUUUAUUUCCCUUCUCCCCCUCACGCUUCCCACUCUUUUUUCCCUCACGUUUCCUCUCUUUUUUCCUUUAGACUUCCCAUUAUUUUCCCCCCUCACAUUUCCCGCCCUUUUCCCCCCCUCACAUUUUCCAUAUUUUUCCCCUCACAUUUCCCGCCCUUUUCCCCCCUCACAUUUCCAACCCAUUUUCCCUCAUUUCCCGCCCGUUUUACCUCAUCUUUUUCACCCUUUUCCUUCAUUAUUCCCGCCUUUUUCCCCCUCACGUUUCCCAUUUUCCCCCCUCACAUUCCCACUCAUUUUCCCCCUCACAUUUCCCACCUAUUUUCCCUCAUUUCCUGCCCUUUUCCCCUCACCUUUCUCACUCUUUUCCCUCAUUUUUCCUGCUUUUUUCCCCUCAUAUUUCCCAUUUUUUUCCCCUCACAUUUCCCACCCAUUUCCCCUCACCUUUCUCACUCUUUCCCCUCAUUUUUCCUGCUUUUUUCCCCUCAUAUUUCCAACCCAUUUCCCCUCAUUUCCCACCCGUUUUACCUCACCUUUUCACUCUUUUCCCUCAUUUUUUCCUGCUUUUUUCCCCUCACGUUUCCCACUUUUUCCCCCUCACAUUUCCCACCCAUUUUUCCUCUUUUCCAUAUUUUUCCCCUCACAUUCCCACUCAUUUUCCCCCUCACAUUUCCCACCCAUUUUCCCUCAUUUCCUGCCCUUUUCCCCUCACCUUUCUCACUCUUUUCCCUCAUUUUUCCUGCUUUUUUCCCCUCACGUUUCCCACCUUUUUCCCCCUCACAUUUCCCACCCUUUUUACCUCACCUUUCUCACUCUUUCCCCUCAUUUUUCCUGCUUUUUUCCCCCUCACAUUUCCCAUUUUUUCCCCCUCACAUUCCCACUCAUUUCCCCCCUCACAUUUUCCAUUUCUUCCCCUCACAAAAAUCUCGUGACCCCUUUUCCCUCCUCACAUUUCCCACCCAUUUUUCCUCUUUUCCAUAUUUUUCCCCCUCACAUUUCCCACCCCUUUUACCUCACCUUUUCACUCUUUUCCCUCAUUUUUCCUGCUUUUUUUCCCCUCACAUUUCCCACCCUUUUCCCUCCUCACAUUUCCCACCCAUUUUUCCUCUUUUCCAUAUUUUCCCCCUCACAUUUCCCAUCCUUUUUACCUCACCUUUCUCACCCUUUCCCCUCAUUUCCCCCGCCUUUUCCCCCUCACAUUUCCCAUAUUUUUCCCCCCCCUCACAUUUCCCGCCCUUUUCCCCCCUCCCCUUUUUCCCGCAAACCCCGCGCGGAGCCGAAAGGACCCGAACGCCGCUCCCGGCC